rnacentral:misc_RNA from 1 species
GAUGAAGAACGUAGCGAAAUGCGAUAAGUAAUGUGAAUUGCAGAAUUCAGUGAAUCAUCGAAUCUUUGAACGCACCUUGCGCCCUUUGGCUAUUCUGAAGGGCAUGCCUGUUUGAGUAUCAUGAACACCUCAACUCUCAUGGUUUGCCAUGAUGAGCUUGGACUUUGGGGGUCUUGCUGGCCUACGGUCAGCUUCUCUCAAAUGAAUCAGCUUGCCAGUGUUUGGUAGAGUCGCAGGUGUGAUAACUAUCUACGCUUGUGGUUUUCUGCCAGAUAACCUUCAGUGAUGGAGGUUCGCUGGAGCUUAUAAAUGUCUCUCCCCAGUGAGGACAGCUUUUUGAACGUUUGAUCUCAAAUCAGGUAGGACUACCCGCUGAACUUAAGCAUAUCAAUAAGCGGAGGA